UUUUCGGCCAAAACGCGGCGCUAUUGAUUCAGUUUUAAAUCAUUAAUUUUUUUAUCUAAAUUUACCAUUGUUUGAGUGUUUUCACAUAAUGCUGUCUCUUUCUGUUCAUCAUAAUAAUCAUAAAGCAUUUUUCAAAAUGUUUUGUCGGUUUAGUGGUGGUAUCAUUUUAAAAUGGUGUAUUCAAAUCAUCAUUUUGUUAAUAUUCCACACGUUAAUUAUUAACGGAAAUGAAUCACCAUUACUUUUGAAACAAUUUGCUCAUUUAAGUUCGCUAAAAGGAUCAGAUAUAGUGUUCACUUGUAAUGUGGCCAAAAAGUCAACACAUGAAGUGUUGUGUGAUUUAAAUGAUAGUUGUAAUUAUUAAUUCGUUUUUUUCGUUCGAUCAAUAAAGUCAUAUUUUGAUACUCGAGAUUAAUUUGUUUAAUAAAUAAUUGGGGGGCAAAUUUAUAAGUGAUCGGACAAUUAUGGUCCCUAUCACUAUCCUCCCCAACAAAUAGGUUUUAUAAGCGAGGGGGAGGCAAAUUUAUAAGUGAUUGUCCACUAUCCACCCCCAACACUGACUAUUUUUUAAAUUAAUUUAUAUGUAAUGUGUAAAUGUGUAUAUAAAUAAUUGGGGGGCAAAUUUAUAAGUGAUCG